rnacentral:RNase_P_RNA from 5 species
GGAUCGAAUUGGGCAGUCGCUCCGGUCGAUUUUUCGAUCGGGGAGGAAAGUCCGAACUCCACAGGACAGGGUGCCUCCGGCGCGAACGGAGGGAGUCCAGAUUGAAAAAUCAGGACGACGGAAAGUGCAACAGAAAAUAUACCGUCCGGCCUGGCCGGAUAAGGGUGAAAUGGCGGUGUAAAAGACCACCGGUGUAUUGGUAACAGUACAGCCUGGCAAACCCCGCCCGGAGCAAUUCCAAGCAGCAAGCAUCACGGUGGUCCGCCGUAUCUCAGCUUCGUGCUGAGUGAGCUUGUGGGUAGGAAGCAAGCAUGACAUCGUAAGGUGUUAUCCAGAGCAAUGGCUGCCUCGUCCGGCAAUCGCCGGAUAUGACAGAAUUCGGCUUACAGAUUCGAUCCCGUU